rnacentral:rRNA from 1 species
CAGCCGCCGCGGUAAUACGUAGGUGGCAAGCGUUAUCCGGAAUUAUUGGGCGUAAAGCGCGCGUAGGCGGUUUUUUAAGUCUGAUGUGAAAGCCCACGGCUCAACCGUGGAGGGUCAUUGGAAACUGGAAAACUUGAGUGCAGAAGAGGAAAGUGGAAUUCCAUGUGUAGCGGUGAAAUGCGCAGAGAUAUGGAGGAACACCAGUGGCGAAGGCGACUUUCUGGUCUGUAACUGACGCUGAUGUGCGAAAGUGUGGGGAUCAAACAGGAUUAGAUACCCCCGUAGUCCCUGUCUCUUAUAC